AAAUAAAAAUCGGUGUUGUUGCUGCCUUUCGUGGUGACGCGUCGGAAUUGGGUCGACUUAACCUUUCGGUUUAAGUGACUUAAAAUUUUUGCAUGAUUUUCGAACGUAUUUAAAUCGCUUACGUACGUUUGAGAUAUCGAAUGUUUAUUGGGUUCGGUCAUCCUCAUGACUCGCGCCUAUAAUUUUUUUCAUU
rnacentral:misc_RNA from 1 species